CCUACGGGAGGCAGCAGUAGGGAAUUUUGCUCAAUGGGGGAAACCCUGAAGCAGCAACGCCGCGUGGAGGAUGAAGGUUUUCGGAUUGUAAACUCCUUUUGUUAGAGAAGAUAAUGUCGGUAUCUAACUAAUAAGCACUGGCUAAUUCCGUGUCAGCAGCCGCGGUCAUACGGUGGGUGCAAGCGGUACUCGGAAACACUGGGCGGAAAGGGCGCGUAGGUGGGAUAGCAAGUCAGAUGUGAAAUCCUAUGGCUUAACCAUAGAGCUGCAUUUGAAACUGUUAUUCUAGAGUAUGGGAGAGGUAGAUGGAAUUCUUGGUGUAGGGGUAGAAUCCGUAGAGAUCAAGAAGAAUACUCAUUGCGAAGGCGACCUGCUAGAACAAAACUGACGCUGAUGCGCGAAAGCGUGGGGAGCAAACAGGAUUAGAUACCCUGGUAGUC
rnacentral:rRNA from 1 species